CCUACGGGGGACUGCAGUGGGGAAUAUUGCGCAAUGGGCGAAAGCCUGACGCAGCGACGCCGCGUGAGGGAUGAAGGUCUUCGGAACGGAAAACUCUGUCAGCAGGGAAGAAAGGUCACGGGGCUAAUCAGCAGUGAAUUGACGGUACCUGCAAAGGAAGCACGGGCUAACUCCGUGCCAGCAGCCGCGGUAAGACGGAGGGUGCGAGCGUUAAUCGGAAUUACUGGGCGUAAAGGGCGGGGAGGCGGUAUGUCAAGUCACGGGUGAAAUCCCCGCGCUCAACGUGGGAACUGCCUUUGAAACUGGCAAACUGGAGUGUGUUAGAGGCUAGUGGAAUUCCCGGUGU
rnacentral:rRNA from 1 species